rnacentral:rRNA from 1 species
ACGAACGCUGGCGGCAUGCCUAACACGUGCAAGUCGAACGAGACCUUCGGGUCUAGUGGCGCACGGGUGCGUAACGCGUGGGAACCUGCCCUUAGGUUCGGAAUAACUCCCCGAAAGGGGUGCUAAUACCGGAUAAUGUCUUCGGACCAAAGAUUUAUCGCCUUUGGAUGGGCCCGCGUUGGAUUAGCUAGUUGGUAGGGUAAAAGCCUACCAAGGCGACGAUCCAUAGCUGGUCUGAGAGGAUGAUCAGCCACACUGGGACUGAGACACGGCCCAGACUCCUACGGGAGGCAGCAGUGGGGAAUAUUGGACAAUGGGCGAAAGCCUGAUCCAGCAAUGCCGCGUGAGUGAUGAAGGCCUUAGGGUUGUAAAGCUCUUUUACCCGGGAUGAUAAUGACAGUACCGGGAGAAUAAGCUCCGGCUAACUCCGUG